rnacentral:rRNA from 1 species
UGGGGAAUUUUGGACAAUGGGCGAAAGCCUGAUCCAGCAAUGCCGCGUGUGUGAAGAAGGCCUUCGGGUUGUAAAGCACUUUUGUCCGGAAAGAAAUCCUUGGCUCUAAUACAGUCGGGGGAUGACGGUACCGGAAGAAUAAGCACCGGCUAACUACGUGCCAGCAGCCGCGGUAAUACGUAGGGUGCAAGCGUUAAUCGGAAUUACUGGGCGUAAAGCGUGCGCAGGCGGUUUGCUAAGACCGAUGUGAAAUCCCCGGGCUUAACCUGGGAACUGCAUUUGUGACUGGCGGGCUAGAGUAUGGCAGAGGGGGGUAGAAUUCCACGUGUAGCAGUGAAAUGCGUAGAGAUGUGGAGGAAUACCGAUGGCGAAGGCAGCCCCCUGGGCCAAUACUGACGCUCAUGCACGAAAGCGUGGGGAGCAAACAGGAUUAGAUACCCUGGUAGUCCACGCCCUAAACGAUGUCAACUAGUUGUCGGGUCUUCAUUGACUUGGUAACGUAGCUAACGCGUGAAGUUGACCGCCUGGGGAGUACGGUCGCAAGAUUAAAACUCAAA